rnacentral:lncRNA from 1 species
CAGGAUGGCAAAGGUUCUUUUGUUGGCAAGGAGCACAGAGCCCAGAGAACUCAGGAAACAGAGAGCAGCCAGCCUGACUACAACAAAGGCAAGGGAACCCUCUGGAGCAGCUUGAGAGAAAAAUUGGAUCAAACCCAAUGGGGCUAUAUAAUCUGUAUCUUAUGAGUAACAAGAAACUAGUGAAGGAUUUGAGGGACUGGCCAAUGACCCUAAAGAAUCGGCCACUGAAUCCCUUCUGCAUUCCAAUCCCUCCCUUCGCCUGAAACCGCUGUACCCCUGCAUCCCUGCUGGUUCCCUUCCUGAGGGCUCAGUCACGUGAUGCCCCUACUACAGCUGCAGAAUUCAGGGGACCCUAACUUUUCCCUUGGCUUCUUCUUUCUGCCUUGAUUUGACCUACUGUGCGAUCAUUAAUAAACAAGAAAUACA